rnacentral:tRNA from 1 species
CGACCGGACCGCUCCCGGACCUGACCGACCUGCUCGACGCGCAGGUUGACGACCGGAUGCUCCCGGUCCUCGCGUGGUUCUACGCCGCGCCGUUUGC